GAGUAAAUCUAAAAUUCACUUUUCAAGAGUUUUCCUUCUCUAUUUUUUCGCCAAUUUCCUCCUUUUCUACAGAGUAUUAGUAUUAUAGUCCAAUUCAAUUUGUGUGGAAUGUGAUGAAUAUUUUUCUCUAUGGUGGAAAUUCAAAGACAAAAGACGAUCUAGAGAAGAAGAUAAUUCCAGAUUGGAAAUUACGACACUAAAGACAAGCCCUAAAUAUAUGCAGAACAAGGUUUAUUUGUUAGUGUUAGUCCGUGUUUGUUGUUCAAACAACUUGUUCUUGCAUAAUUGACUCUUUCUGGCUAUUUCUUUGGCCAAUUUCAUUCUUUGCUGUUGGAUUUCUUCAGUGCCAGACAUUCUACUAUGAACGGUAAGAAGCAUUUUCUCAAUUCAAUUUACACAUUUUUUUUUUGUUCUGAAAAAUCUCUUGAAAUUCAGAAAAUGCUAGAGUAUUGAUUAAAUUCGCUUAAUUUUAUUUUCUUAUACGAAGUAUUUAUUUCAUGAAGUGUGAACGGUUGAUCCCCAAUUUUCCGAUAUCAUUGAUCCACGGGUUUGUUCAAUCUUUAGAUCUUGGUUUCAAAUAAUUAUAAUAUUAUUGUAGUUUAUAGAAAAAAAAAACUUCAUAUCUGUUAUUCUACCCUCUCCAAUGCAUAAUUUUGUUUAAAUUUGUUGGGUUGCUGACUUUCCCUAUUUAGGGGAGUAGGCCUUAAUGAGGACUUAUGCAAAAACUUUGCAACUUGGUAAUUGUUGGGUAAGAUUGCUAACCUUUUUUUAGAUUUGUUACAACUGCAUAUUUUUUGGGAGAUAGCUAGCUAGGUAUGUUGUGUGUUCCUAUCAUGAUAAUAGGUCCUUAAUAAGGCUAAUUGUUUCUCAAUAUUAAACACAGGUUCCCCAUGUGGUAUUCAAUUUGAGAAGAAAAUGCUCAACCUUAUCUGUCUUUAGUAUGAUACGGAGUACCUUCAAGCCAACCUUUAUUUAUCAUGAUACCUUGGAUCCCAAUGUCUUUGAACCAUAUAGUCAAUGUGGAUUACGUCGGAAUUUCAAUUGGAUUGUGUAUAGUAGUUAUAGUGUUACAUUUAUUUUUGUUUUGGAAUUGCUAUUGUACUUAAUUAUAUUUCAAUUCACAAUCUCAUAUCCCUUAUUAGUUCUUGGAAUUCUCACAAAAAGGUUAUAAGAUGAAUGACUUUUUUCUAAUAUUGUUAACUUAGAGGUAUUAGUUCCCUCAAAAAAAAACUUAAAGAUAUUACUCAUAUAAUAGUAAAGACCAUUAAAAUUGAAGGUUAUCUAUCUUUGACAUGUAGUAACUUUUGAAAAUAAAUUUUUUUUUUGGCUAAUAAAAUUUGGUUUACCACAUAGGUGUUUCAUGGAGUUUCAGUAACAUAUUGGCAACUGGAAAAAUUGGAUGAUCCUCAAUAGAUAAGUUUUACAUUAAACCCGCCUUCACCUUCACCUUUCCCUUACCUUUUCUUUUUUGGCAGCAAUUGGAGAAGUUUUACUUGCAUCAGAGAUUCAGAGGCAUUAUCUUUGCAAGUUUUAACGUGUCUUGGAAGUAUAAAAUCAAGAUUAAAUCCCCAUUUUUGUAUUCCAUGAAUUUGGUUAUACUGUAAAUGAAAUUACAUGAUAUAAAGAGGCUUAGUUAUCCAUUAUGGCUCUAUUUUUAGUAACUCCUGUUAUGUUUUUAGUUUUUGGAGUAAUUUAUGUUAUGUUACCCUUUCUUUUUCAAAAUUUGACUAAUACAAUGUUAUUAAUCAGUUGCGCUGCCAAAAUCACACAAUAAUCUUCUGCUUACCAGCAUUUGAAUCCUUGACA